AAGACAACCCUGCACAAGGAAAGAAUUCCAGUGGCACAGUCAGUAAUUCAGUGAGUACUACACCUUCAGAACCACAAAAUGAAACAAACACACCACCCAGUCCUGGAAGUCACUCUAAGUACAAGACUCAGGUGUUUGUUAGCUCUGUGAAAAUUCCACGGCGUAGCAGUAGCAGCUGUAGUAUCAAAAGUCCUCCACCUUUGCCAGAAGCAAUAGAGGAAGAACCAUUUUCAGAGACCAAAGCAGUGAAAUCUGAAGUUUUAAUUCCAGCUGUGCCCAGCUUAAAUCUGAACAACAAACAAGAAAGCCUUCCUAGUUCUCAGCAGACAUCAACA